rnacentral:rRNA from 1 species
CGGAGGGUGCAAGCGUUGUCCGGAUUCAUUGGGUUUAAAGGGUGCGCAGGCGGGACAUUAAGUCAGGGGUGAAAGACGGUUGCUCAACAAUCGCAGUGCCUUUGAUACUGGUGUUCUUGGGUGACGGUGAGGUAGGCGGAAUGGGUGGUGUAGCGGUGAAAUGCAUAGAUACCACCCAGAACUCCGAUUGCGAAGGCAGCCUACUGGUCGUUAACCGACGCUCAGGCACGAAAGCGUGGGGAUCAAACAGGAUUAGAUACCCUGGUAGUCCACGCCGUAAACGAUGAUCACUCGCUGUGGGAAGGUCACUUUCCGCGGCUUAGCGAAAGCGUUAAGUGAUCCACCUGGGGAGUACGCUCGCAAGGGUG